AGGGGAGUGAAAUAGAACCUGAAACCGUGUGCCUACAACCGCUCAGAGCCCCUUAUGAGGGUGAUGAGGUGCUUUUUGUAGAACGAGCCAACGAGUUACGGUAUGUAGCAAGGUUAAGUACUUAAGGUACGGAGCCGAAGGGAAACCGAGUCUGAAUAGGGCGACUAGUUGCAUGCCGUAGACCCGAAACCGGGUGACCUAUCCAUGGCCAGGUUGAAGCGAGGGUAAAACCUCGUGGAGGACCGAACCACGUUGCUGUUGAAAAAGCAUGGGAUGAGCUGUGGAUAGCGGAGAAAUUCCAAUCGAACCCGGAGAUAGCUGGUUCUCUCCGAAAUAGCUUUAGGGCUAGCGUCGAGUAUGAGUAGUGGAGGUAGAGCACUGAAUGGGCUAGGGGGCAUAGCGCUUACCGAACCUUAUCAAACUCCGAAUGCCACAUACUUUGAGCUCGGCAGUCAGACUACGAAUGAUAAGAUCCGUGGUCAAAAGGGAAACAGCCCAGAUCGUCAGCUAAGGUCCCAAAGUGUAAGUUAAGUGGGAAAGGAUGUGAGAUUUCUAAGACAACUAGGAUGUUGGCUUAGAAGCAGCCAUUCAUUAAAAGAGUGCGUAAUAGCUCACUAGUCGAGAGAUCUUGCGCCGAAAAUGUAACGGGGCUAAACUUACC
rnacentral:rRNA from 1 species